rnacentral:tRNA from 1 species
GCCUGGGUGGCUCAGUCGGUUGAGCGUCUGACUUUGGCUCAGGUCAUGAUCUCAAGGCUCGUGGUGUUGGUGAGUUCAAACCCCACCUCAGGCU